rnacentral:rRNA from 1 species
CCUACGGGAGGCAGCAGUGAGGAAUAUUGGUCAAUGGACGAGAGUCUGAACCAGCCAAGUAGCGUGAAGGAUGACUGCCCUAUGGGUUGUAAACUUCUUUUAUCUGGGAAUAAAAUGUUCCACGUGUGGGAUUUUGUAUGUACCAUAUGAAUAAGGAUCGGCUAACUCCGUGCCAGCAGCCGCGGUAAUACGGAGGAUCCGAGCGUUAUCCGGAUUUAUUGGGUUUAAAGGGGGCGUAGGUGGAUUGUUAAGUCAGUUGUGAAAGUUUGCGGCUCAACCGUAAAAUUGCAGUUGAAACUGGCAGUCGUGAGUACAGUAGAGGUGGGCGGAAUUCGUGGUGUAGCGGUGAAAUGCUUAAAUAUCACGAAGAACUCCGAUUGCGAAGGCAGCUCACUGGACUGCAACUGACACUGAGGCUCGAAAGUGUGGGUAUCAAACAGGAUUAGAUACCCUUGUAGUC